rnacentral:rRNA from 1 species
UACGUAGGGCGCAAGCGUUAUCCGGAAUUAUUGGGCGUAAAGAGCUCGUAGGCGGUUUUGUCGCGUCUGCCGUGAAAGUCCGGGGCUCAACUCCGGAUCUGCGGUGGGUACGGGGCAGACUAGAGUGAUGUAGGGGAGACUGGAAUUCCUGGUGUAGCGGUGAAAUGCGCAGAUAUCAGGAGGAACACCGAUGGCGAAGGCAGGUCUCUGGGCAUUAACUGACGCUGAGGAGCGAAAGCAUGGGGAGCGAACAGG